rnacentral:lncRNA from 1 species
UGUGGGGUGAAAGGAUUCCAACAUAUAAACCUUGUAAUGGAAAUUGCACACAUAGUGCUUGAUGAAAUGCUUAAGUGAGCUAAAACCAUGAAUCUCUCCCUAAUUAUGGUUCAAUUUUGUUAUAUCUCUAGUUGAUUGGAAUUGCUAGAAGUGUUGGGGAGUUGUGGUAAUUUAAGGGAAGCUCAAGCAAGGUAUGUUGGCUAAACGUGUCUCCUAGAAUUGAAUCCCAUGAUGUUCUUGUAAGUCUCGAGUUAUUCAUUAUAAAUUAACUAUUCCGAAUAAGCUUUGUGUUGAAAGGUAUAUGUUCAAAAUGUAUUCCGAAUGCUCUUAUCAUAUGUUGUUAUCCUUAUGGAAUGUGUUCAAAGCAUGAGUUGGGUAUAAUAAUGUUAUGACUACAUGUAGUGUUUCAAGUGAAGGCUAUUAUGCCAAAUUGUGUAAGAAGUCUCAAUAUGCUUAAGACUCUUAAUUGCUCAUAGGUGUACUAAAAGUCAUGAUUAGAGAUUCUUUGUUGUCGAUAAUAUAUAAAUAUGCUUAAAUGUGAAAGUAGUGAGCUGGGGAUAUAAAGUGUGGACACCGUGCCAAGAAUAAAAGUUAUAUUAUGGCCAAUAGCGCCAAUGAAAUGAAAUGAUGUGUGAAAUAAUAUGAAAUGAGCCUUGAUUCAACUAUUCCAAAUUGACUCCGAAAAUAGAAUUAUCCAAAAGCUUAUGUACUCAAGUCGUGUCCAAAUGUAGUUGUUCUGACUAAUGCUAUGCUUGCAAGGUAUUUCCAAUAUGUUUUGAGUUCUUACAUAUUCCUGAGUUGAAAUUGUGUAUUACCCUUUUGGGGAAUGGUAUUUCAAGAGUAUUCUAUAUGAUGAUGUUGAUGAUGAUAAUCCUUGAAAGUAAAUAAAUGAAAGUGCAGAAUAUGAUAUACGGCCACGGUGCCAUGUAUGAAGAAUAAUAUGUAUGGCUAAGGGAGACAAUGAAAUAAUGAUGGUAUAAGUAGUUGAAAGUAAUUGUGAACUGAUAUAUGGUGUGAAAGAUUAUGAGAUGAACGUAUUUCUACUUAUGUUUCCAAUGUGUUAUAAGAUCCUACGCCCUCAUGAGGAGAGUCUAUGGUGUUCCUAAUAUUUUAAAUGUUCUUUAUGUCCUAUGAUCACCCAUGGCAAGUUCAAGUAAGUGAUGGUAUGAACAUGAAAUGUGGUCGUUUGCCAAAAUGAGAAUUACGAGGUGUGGUAUGUCCCUAUGGUUUCAAUCAUAGUAUGUAUGCUACUAAAAUAAUUAAUGUAAAUGACUUCGAUGUUAAGUCCUCAAGAAUCAUGAACUUAGCUAAUGACCUUAAGAUGACAAGAGAGUAUAUAAUGAAGUGGAAGAGGGAUGUCCUAUGCUAAGUGACAAUAAAUCUUAUGGAUAACGUAUUUGGGCCAUGUGCCAUUGAAAUUGACUUAUUGAUUUACCAUACAUGUGCUAACGUAAUAAGUUAUGUUCCUCCAUGAUGAGCAUGAACAUGAAUAUGAAGUGUUCUAAUGAUCCGAGAACUUACGACCUUAAAUGUAGCGCUAGUCAUGUCACUUUGGGUUUAUAUAUGGUCAUGUGCAUAAUGAUGUGUUUUGAUCCUCGAUGGUCUAUGAAACACAUAGGUGUAUUGUGUAAGUAAACACUUUGGACGGUCUAUGAAGCACAUAGGUGUAUUGUAUGGUAUAUGUGAAUCCUAUGGAUGGUCUACGAAACACAUAGGUGUACAGUAUGAUAUGUGAACACUAUGGACGGUCUAUGAGACGCAUAGGUGUAUAAUAUGACAUGCAAUCCUAUGGACGGUCUAUGAAACGCAUAGGUGUAUUGUGUAAGGAACACUAUGGACGGUCUAUGAAACGCAUAGGUGUAUUGUGUAAGGAACACUAUGGACGGUCUAUGAAAUGCAUAGGCGUAUUGUACUGUAAUAUAUGACCCCAUAGACGGGCUAUGAAACACAUAGGUGUAUAAUGGUAUAGGUGAACCCUAUAGAAGGCCUAUGAAACACAUAGGUAUAUAAUGUAGUAUUGUAUCCUAUGGACGGACUAUGAAAUGCAUAGGUGUAUGAUAUGUGAAUACUGUGAAUGGCCUAUGAAACGCACAGGUGUAUUGUCUAAGUAAAAACCGUGAACGAUCUAAGAAAAGCACAGGUGUAUUGUAUAGGUGAUACUGUGAAUGGUAUAUGAAAUGCACAAGUGUAUUGUGUAAGUAAACACCGUGAAUGGUCUAUGAAACGAACAUGUGUAUUGUAUAGGUGAUACUUUGAACGGUCUAUAAAACGCACAGGUGUAUUUGUGUAAGUAAACAAUAUGAAUGGUCUAUGAAAUGCACAGGUGUAUUUUGUAUGUAAACAAUAUGAACGGCCUAUGAAACGCACAUGUGAAAUGUAUAGGUGUAAGAUAAGAGAGGGAUAUGGACAGUCUAGUGAGACGUAUUGUUAACACAUACAUUAAGUGCCACUUUCAGUGGCCUUGUUUGAACAUGUUGUUUAAAUUACUUUAUAUUAUGUAUUUCACGCAUAGUUCAUAUGGCUCAGUUAAUCCUAAAUGGAAUUUAAAAUGAUAUAAGCAUAACGAGACUUUAAAUGUUAAUAUAUGGGAUAUUUCGUAGUUCUUGAUAUACUUUGUAUGCCUCUUAUUUGAAUUACCAUCAUUUCAUAUGUUGUUAUGUUGCCCUUACAUGCGAGUACUAUUCCACAUGUACUCACGUCCCUUUUGCUAGGGACGAUGCAUGUUUUAAUGGAUGCUGAUAUACUUCUACAGGAUGAUAUAGAUCUUUGAUAGGGAUCUUGUGCGCACCAGAUUAUGGUGAGCCCACUAUAAUUCCAGUGGGUAUUCGAGUCUAGUUGGUUUUAUGUACUUAGGUAUCUAUUUUCAUAGAAGUUCCAUGUACAGUAUGGGUCAUGUACUUAAGUUUUGAGUUUCGUCAUGUAUUUAUUUUCACAUUUAUUAGUGAAGCUAUGUAGCCAUCACGAGAGAAACAUAAAAAGCAAUUUAUGGAUCAUUGAGCCAAAUGUAUUCAAUAUGAAAGUCAAGAUCUAAUUAUGUUUUGAUAAAUCAUGCAUGAGUUAUGAUGAGAGGUUGAUUUAGCGUAGGAUUUCUCAACAGGGUUCACUCAGUUGAGCGCCGGUCAUGCUCCCCAAGUUCGGGGUGUGACAAACUUGGUAUCCGAGCAUGAUUUACGAGUCCUAAGGUGUCAUGGAGUUGUGUCAGUAGAGUCCCUCUUAUCGGUGUGUUGCCGGCCAUACUUAUAAUAGGGAGGAUACAAUGGCAUUUAGGAAAUGUUUCUCUUCUUCAAUCCUAUAUUGUGCGUUAAGGUUCCGAGUUAAUCUAGAAGUUCCUUUGUUAAUGUCAAGGAAUAUUUGCACGUCGUGAUAUGAAAUGAGAAAGGCCUAAGGAUUAAAGGAAUGGAGCACAUAACAUGUAUAAUGUGUGAGGUACCCAAUUCUCACCAUAAUGGAGGAAGGAAAAGUCAAGGAUACGACCAAGUAAGCAAGGUUAUAGAGUUAGCCCCGAGAGUUAUGGUUGUUGUUAUUUUCAUGUAUAUGGUGCGAUGUAGCCAAGGAAACUCUAUCAAAAUUUCUAGAAUAUUCGGGGAGUUAGUCAAAUAUGGGACUAGGGAAUGUGAAUAAAGAGCUAAGUCAUAUUGGGGUGUUUUGUGGCAUGACCUAANNNNNNNNNNNNNNNNNNNNNNNNNUAUAUAUGUAUGUAUAUAAAAUUUUCGCGGAGUGAAGUAGAAAGUUGGCAAAUUUUGAAAUCAUUUUGUGGCAAUUCAGCUGGCCACAUAAUGAUUCUGGUAUCGCAUAAUGGUCGCAGAAUGAUUAUGCUAUUGCGAAAUGUCAUCGCGGAAAAGACUAGAGGCAACCCAGAAUUUGAAAAUCAUUUUGAGUCCAUUUCACUGGCCACAUAUUGAUUCUACUAUCGCGGAAUUGCAUCGCGGAAUUGACAUGCCAUUUUGUGGCCAUUCCACUUGCCACAUAUUGAUUCUGCUACCACAUAAUUGCACCAUAAAAUUUAUUUCGGGGGUCAUUUUUUGUAAUUUUCUUAUCCGACCCAAUUUUGAUAUAAGGCCUUAGGGGGUCAUUUUGCAAGGUAAAAUCUGAUUUUUAGAGAGAAGUGAGAGUACUUUAUAUAGAGAAGGAGAAUAUCUAGCAUGCUAAUCAUCUAUUCUUGCCCAAAUCUUCAAAAAUCAAGGAAACCAAUCACUAGAUCUUCAUCUAAGAGGUAAGUUCUACCCCCUAUCCCUAAAAUUUCGGGAUUUUGACUAAAAGUAGGUAAUAAGAAGUAUGAUUCUUAACUGUGGAGGUUGUUUAACUAAAAAGUGUAAAUGAUUUGUUGUGGGGUGAAAGGAUUCCACCAUAGAAACCUUGUAAUGGAAAUUGCACACAUAGUGCUUGAUGAAAUGCUUAAGUGAGCUAAUACCAUGAAUCUCUCCCUAAUUAUGGUUCAAUUUUGUUAUAUCUCUAAUUGAUUGGAAUUGCUAGAAGUGUUGGGGAGUUGUGGUAAUUUAAGGGAAUCUCAAGCAAGGUAUGUUGGCUAAACGUGUCUCCUAGAAUUGAAUCCCAUGAUGUUCUUGUAAGUCUCGAGUUAUUCAUUAUAAAUUAGCUAUUCUGAAUAAGCUUUGUGUUGAAAGGUAUAUGUUCAAAAUGUAUUCCGAAUGCUCUUAUCAUAUGUUGUUAUCCUUCUGGAAUGUGUUUAAAGCAUGAGUUAGGU